rnacentral:rRNA from 1 species
GACGAACGCUGGCGGCGUGCCUAAUACAUGCAAGUCGAACGAGUGGCGGACGGGUGAGUAACACGUGGGAACCUACCCAUCAGAGGGGGAUAACGACGGGACACUGUCGCUAAUACCGCGUACCAUAGGUUGAGCCAAUGGGGGAUUAGGGUGUUGGUGGGGGAAUGGCCUACCAAGCCGACGAUCUCUCGCUGGGCUGAGAGGAUGAGCAGCCACACCGGGACUGUGACACGGCCCGGACGCCGACGGGAGGCAGCAGUGGGGAAUAUUGCGCAAUGGGGGCAACCUGACGCAGCCAGGCCGCGUGAAUGAAGAAGGCCUUCGGGUUGUAAAGUUCUUUCGGUGACGAGGCGUUAAUCACAGAAGAAGCACCGGCUAACUCCGUGCCAGCAGCCGCGGUAAUUC